AAAAAAAAAAAAAAAAAACACACUUUUCUACACACGAAAGCGCUCAAAAAACCCACCAAAACCUAGGGACCAAAUCCCCUAAUGCCGUCUUUGACCUUGACAAAUCACUGACCCUCAUUGAUUGAGAUAUUAAAUAAAACCAAACAAAAUUGUUGAUUAACGAUUAAUUUUGUAUCGAAACUCACGAUCAGGUUGGAGGAUCGGGAGUUGACGAUUGAUUGGACCAUCAAUCACGGAUAACCAGUGCUCGACUCAGCCGGUCACGGUGGCGAGUUCGAUUGGAUUCUAGAAUUCUUUUAACUUCUCGCUGGUUCCUUUUCAUUGAUGUGUGCAGCAAUAGAGAGACGCUGAUAUGUUUUUUAGGG
rnacentral:misc_RNA from 1 species